CAGCCGCCGCGGUAAGACGGAGGGUGCUAGCGUUGUUCGGAAUCACUGGGCGUAAAGGGCGCGUAGGCGGCCUGUUAAGUCGGAUGUGAAAGCCCGGGGCUCAACCCCGGAACUGCAUCCGAGACUGGCAGGCUUGAGACCGGGAGAGGAGGGUGGAAUAUCCAGUGUAGAGGUGAAAUUCGUAGAUAUUGGAUGGAACACCGGUGGCGAAAGCGGCUCUCUGGCCCGGAUCUGACGCUGAGGCGCGAAAGCGUGGGGAGCAAACAGGAUUAGAUACCCCUGUAGUCCCUGUCUCUUAUAA
rnacentral:rRNA from 1 species